UACGGAGGAUGCAAGCGUUAUCCGGAUUCAUUGGGUUUAAAGGGUGCGCAGGCGGAGUGAUAAGUCAGUGGUGAAAGCCUACAGCUUAACUGUAGAACUGCCAUUGAUACUGUCAUUCUUGAGUAUUGUUGAGGUAGGCGGAAUGUGUCAUGUAGCGGUGAAAUGCUUAGAUAUGACACAGAACACCGAUCGCGAAGGCAGCUUACCAAGCAAUAACUGACGCUCAUGCACGAAAGCGUGGGGAGCAAACAGG
rnacentral:rRNA from 1 species